rnacentral:rRNA from 1 species
CCUACGGGAGGCAGCAGUAGGGAAUAUUGCUCAAUGGGGGAAACCCUGCAGCAGCAACGCCGCGUGGAGGAUGAAGGUUUUCGGAUUGUAAACUCCUUUUGUUAGAGAAGAUAAUGACGGUAUCUAACGAAUAAGCACCGGCUAACUCCGUGCCAGCAGCCGCGGUAAUACGGAGGGUGCAAGCGUUACUCGGAAUCACUGGGCGUAAAGAGCGAGUAGGCGGGAUAGCAAGUCAGAUGUGAAAUCCUAUGGCUUAACCAUAGAACUGCAUUUGAGACUGUUAUUCUAGAGUAUGGGAGAGGUAGGUGGAAUGCUUGGUGUAGGGGUAAAAUCCGUAGAGAUCAAGCGGAAUACUCAUUGCGAAGGCGACCUGCUAGAACAUAACUGACGCUGAUGCGCGAAAGCGUGGGGAGCGAACAGGAUUAGAUACCCGGGUAGUC